rnacentral:rRNA from 1 species
UACGUAGGGGGCAAGCGUUGUCCGGAAUCAUUGGGCGUAAAGAGCGUGUAGGCGGCCAGAUAAGUCCGCUGUGAAAUCUCGAGGCUCAACUUCGAGCUGUCGGUGGAAACUGUCUGGCUAGAGUCCGGAAGAGGAGACUGGAAUUCAUGGUGUAGCAGUGAAAUGCGUAGAGAUCAUGAGGAAGACCAGUGGCGAAGGCGGGUCUCUGGACAGUUCCUGACACUGAGGCACGAAGGCCAGGGGAGCAAACGGG